rnacentral:lncRNA from 1 species
UAUGCCUCAUUUUGCUCAAAAUUUGAGUCGCCCUUUUUCGGGUUUUCAAGUCAAAUCCACCUUUGGUCAGAGCGCCCUUUGCGGGUUUUCGCCUUGACCUCUCCUUUUUUAUUUUUUCAUUUUCAUUUUUUAUUUCAACUUUGAUUGAUUUUUCUUUUUGCUUUUGACUUUGAUUUUUUUUUGAAUCUGAACUCAUAGGAUUAGGCAAGUCCUGGUCAUCCUUUUCGAUCAGAAUCAAUGUUAUUCUAAAGUCUUCCACAUAAGAUCUUCCACUUUCAUCUUGUAUGCAAAAAACCUUCUUU